rnacentral:rRNA from 1 species
GAUGAACGCUGGCGGCGUGCCUAAUACAUGCAAGUCGAGCGAACAGACGAGGAGCUUGCUCCUCUGACGUUAGCGGCGGACGGGUGAGUAACACGUGGAUAACCUACCUAUAAGACUGGGAUAACUUCGGGAAACCGGAGCUAAUACCGGAUAACAUGUUGAACCGCAUGGUUCAACAGUGAAAGACGGUCUUGCUGUCACUUAUAGAUGGAUCCGCGCCGCAUUAGCUAGUUGGUAAGGUAACGGCUUACCAAGGCAACGAUGCGUAGCCGACCUGAGAGGGUGAUCGGCCACACUGGAACUGAGACACGGUCCAGACUCCUACGGGAGGCAGCUGUAGGGAAUCUUCCGCAAUGGGCGAAAUCCUGACGGAGUAACGCCGCGUGAGUGAAGAAGGUCUUCGGAUCGUAAAACUCUGUUAUUAGGGAAGAACAAAUGUGUAAGUAACUAUGCACGUCUUGACGGUACCUAAUCAGAAAGCCACGGCUAACUACGUG